CAAGCAGAGGUCGGGGCAGGCGGCAGAGAAUCAAAGGCGGUAUACACGAUCCAAAAUCAGACACGGGAAGAACAAACACAGGGAAAAUGCUCGGAAAUGCUAGAUGGGGCUAAACAAGACUUCGCCCAGACUGAGAGUGAUUGUGCUGCUUAUAUGUGUGUGUGUGUGUGUGUGUUCCCAGGAAUGAGGUAGGAUGGGAAAUGGAGUUCGAAAAAGGGGAUG